AGAUUUGGAGAAACAAAAUAAAAAUCACAGCUGAUAGAGGUGAGAUAUUAGAAAAACGAGGGAAGAAAAUUCCAAACUUUGAAUGUAUUUUUCGAGAUUCGAUUUUGGAAGCAUAGCUGUGAGGCUAGGUGCGAACGAAGAACAAAAAUUUCCCUAAUCACUCUACAAAGGUUGCAAAAAGAGAAACCUCAUUGAUCAUUCAGCUCCCUCUCCUAAGGAGAUUUGCUUCACUUGUUCUCCAAGGAUAUAGAUGAAUGGCUCCGAGAAAUCCUUUCAGCCCGGUAGCUUAUCGAGACAGCUACGGUUUCAUGGAAAUGUACGAUGAGAGCUCCCUUGCGGUCCUGAUGGAUGGAUAGAAAUCCAACCCCUUAACGUUGAAGAAAAAUAUAUAUAUAUUGUGUUCUUGAAUUAUUUAUGACAAACUGAAAUGCCCCGUUCAAGAUA